AGCAGGAUUGGAACACAGGGCUGCCUCAUUCCCCUUACUUACUGGGGAGAGUGCUCUGGCCUCAGAAGCCCUGUCAGGAAUGGGAGCGGCUGGCUUUGGAGCCCUGGAACCCCAGUUAUCUGGAUGCCCAGGGAGUAGGCAUCUGGCUCUCCUCCCAGGGGCUGCUUCUUCCUCACACCCUGUGGGCCUGCAGGGACCCCACCUCUUGUGGACUGUAGAAAUAUUUUGCCUUUUUAAUGAUUUAUUUUAACUACUGUAAAGAGGAAAAACUCCCUAAGAGAGACAGCUGGAGGGUCUGCGCCCUGGACUCCGAAACCCAUCUAAGCACUCCAGUCCAAUGUCAUCCCUGCCCCCACGGCUCCCCUCUGAUGAAUGGGCUCCUGUCUUGGAAGGAUGAGUUAAUCUGCUGGGAGACUAUUCCGGGGAGAUGACAUCCUCCAUCACGCAGCCUGACAGGCUGUUCCGAGUGCCACUGACAGGCCAGAGACACCAAUAAGUCACCGGGCAGAGCACCUUGCAUCCAAGAAUCUCAACAGUGCCUUUGAAAACCGUGGUGAGUGUUAUCCCUAUUUUACAGACGGGGCAGCUGAGGUACGGAGAAAUUUCCCCUAAAUUCUCUCAGCCCAUCAGUGAGAAAACAGACCCCCAGAAGCCCUGACUCCCAGCCCCCCCCCCCCAGUUCUGCCCAGACUAUGAAGCUGCAGCCCUGUGAUACAGAACAAUGUCUCCUCAAUAAAUCACCGUGAAUCAUGACUCAGACGGCUGUGGAAAUUGGACUGGAGAAAAUGAGUUUUCAACCGUGGAACAAGUUUUCUCUGCGGGGGGGAAGGUCAGAUUUCAUGAGCGCCACAGAUAAAAGCGGCAGCCACACUCUGCAAUGGGCUUUGAAAUCUCCUUCCUUUCCUCUGGCUCAAGUUCCCACGGUACAAUGAGCAGGCCCGGCUCCCUGGUCACUGCUUUGUAUCACGAGCUGUCAUCCGAGGCUGGCGAUUGUGUGUUUCCCUGUGAUGAGAGUAUUGGCGAGGCGCGGCCGGAAUAUUCAUGGGAACUCCCCUGCUCAACGCCAGCCUGUAAAUCCUCUUCGACCAAUUUCAUGCAUGGAAA